rnacentral:rRNA from 1 species
AAUCCGGUUGAUCCUGCCGGACCUGACUGCUAUCGGAUUGAUACUAAGCCAUGCGAGUCUUUGUAGUAAUACAAGGCAGACGGCUCAGUAACGCGUAGUCAACCUACCCUAUGGACGGGAAUAAUCUCGGGAAACUGAGCAUAAUACCCGGCGUACCAUCAUUCCUGGAAUGGUUGGUGGUUAAAAUGAUUCGUCGCCGUAGGAUGGGACUGCGACCUAUCAGCUUGUUGGUGGGGUAAUGGCCCACCAAGGCGAUUACAGGUACGGGCUCUGAGAGGAGAAGCCCGGAGAUGGGUACUGAGACACGGACCCAGGCCCUAUGGGGCGCAGCAGGCGAGAAAACUUUGCAAUGUGCGAAAGCACGACAAGGUUAAUCCGAGUGAUUUCUGCUAAAGGAAUCUUUUGCCAGUUCUAAAAAUACUAGUGAAUAAGGGGUGGGCAAGUUCUGGUGUCAGCCGCCGCGGUAAAACCAGCACCUCAAGUGGUCAGGAGGAUUAUUGGGCCUAAAGCAUCCGUAGCCUGCUCUGUAAGUUUUCGGUUAAAUCUAUAUGCUCAACGUAUAGGCCGCCGAAAAUACUGCAGUGCUAGGAAGUGGGAGAGGUAGACGGUACUU